rnacentral:rRNA from 1 species
CACGGAGUUAGCCGGAGCUUAUUCUCCCGGUACUGUCAUUAUCAUCCCGGGUAAAAGAGCUUUACGACCCUAAGGCCUUCAUCACUCACGCGGCAUUGCUGGAUCAGGCUUUCGCCCAUUGUCCAAUAUUCCCCACUGCUGCCUCCCGUAGGAGUCUGGGCCGUGUCUCAGUCCCAGUGUGGCUGAUCAUCCUCUCAGACCAGCUAAGGAUCGUCGCCUUGGUGAGCCUUUACCUCACCAACUAGCUAAUCCUACGCGGGCUCAUCCCUCGGCGAUAAAUCUUUGGACUUACGUCAUCAUCCGGUAUUAGCAGUCAUUUCUAACUGUUAUUCCGAACCGAGGGGCAGAUUCCCACGCGUUACGCACCCGUGCGCCACUAAGCCCGAAGGCUUCGUUCGACUUGCAUGUGUUAGGCAUGCCGCCAGCGUUCGUUCUGAGCCAGGAUCAAACUCU